rnacentral:rRNA from 1 species
CGAAGGGGGCAAGCGUUGUUCGGAAUUACUGGGCGUAAAGGGCGCGUAGGCGGCUUAUCAAGUCAGGCGUGAAAUUCCCGGGCUCAACCUGGGGGCUGCGCUUGAUACUGAUGAGCUUGAAUGCGGGAGAGGAUAGUGGAAUUCCCAGUGUAGAGGUGAAAUUCGUAGAUAUUGGGAAGAACACCGGUGGCGAAGGCGGCUAUCUGGCCCGUAAUUGACGCUGAGGCGCGAAAGCGUGGGGAGCAAACAGGAUUAGAUACCCUGGUAGUCUACGCCGUAAACGAUGAAUGCUAGACGUUGGCGAGCAUGCUCGUCAGUGUCGGAGCUAACGCAUUAAGCAUUCCGCCUGGGGAGUACGGUCGCAAGAUUA